rnacentral:rRNA from 1 species
UGGGGAAUAUUGGACAAUGGGGGGAACCCUGAUCCAGCCAUGCCGCGUGUGUGAAGAAGGCCUUAUGGUUGUAAAGCACUUUAAGUUGGGAGGAAGGGCAGUAAGCGAAUACCUUGCUGUUUUGACGUUACCGACAGAAUAAGCACCGGCUAACUCUGUGCCAGCAGCCGCGGUAAUACAGAGGGUGCGAGCGUUAAUCGGAUUUACUGGGCGUAAAGCGUGCGUAGGCGGCUAAUUGAGUCGGAUGUGAAAUCCCCGAGCUUAACUUGGGAAUUGCAUUCGAUACUGGUUAGCUAGAGUGUGGGAGAGGAUGGUAGAAUUCCAGGUGUAGCGGUGAAAUGCGUAGAGAUCUGGAGGAAUACCGAUGGCGAAGGCAGCCAUCUGGCCUAACACUGACGCUGAGGUACGAAAGCAUGGGGAGCAAACAGG